rnacentral:rRNA from 1 species
CCCUGCCAUUUGUACACACCGCCCGUCGCUACUACCGAUUGGAAGUUUUAGUGAGGCAUUUGGACCUGUUGUUCAUGAAAUGGGCAACCAUUUUGGAACGACGGGGAAGUCUGUCGAACUCAAAUUUCUAGAGGAAGUAAAAGUCGUAACAAGG